rnacentral:sRNA from 1 species
AACUGGCUCGCGUUAGUGAUUGCAGUGAAAAUCCUUUAUGACAAUACUGCAUUCAUCGCAGUAUUGACAUAAAGAUUGAAACGGAAAGCACGGCCGCAG